GUUUGACAUACUCUCAGAGAAGGUGGUGCGCACAAAACUGUUUCCUGAAUUAUAUGAUAGAGUACAGUUUAAACUGAAGAAAUUUAUUGACUGAAAGGAGCUGAUUACAGUCUGAGCUGUGAUGUUUGGUUGUCAAAAGCGCUGGAUUCCUAUUUGGGGGUCAUAAUACACUUCGUAACUACAAACUUCGAAAGAAAAGUUAUUGUACUGAGAUGCCUUCCCUAUAACCGAGCACAUACCGGCAUGGGGUCUGUCCGAAGAGAAACUUCACUGCGUUAUCAGCGACACUGCUUCGAACAUGAAAAAGGCUUUGUCCGCCUGGAUCCUGUUUUCUCCAUCUACUGAAUCUCAUCGUAAAGAAUUCUGUUUUUCUCAAAGUGGAGUUAACCGGCUUAUCAAAAAGAUCAAGAGUCUUAUCAAGGAGUUUAGAACCCCUGCAGGUAAACGUCUACUGAAUGAAAAUCAAGCAGUAGAGGC